CAGACAGUGCGCCUUCCACAGCCUUGGGGCGUUCUGCGGCCUGCCUGCUCCGCACUCUGCAGCGCGAACCGCCGCAAGGUAAGGAAAUGGCAGAAGAUUAUGUUUUAACGUCCAGGGGAGGAAGAGAAGGAAAACAAGUUUGAUAAAUCGGGAGAGCAAAUUCGCCAUACCCGUUCAAAGGGAUCAUCCAGGCAUUCAUCUAAAGCAACAUAGGGAAACCACGGAAAACAUAAAUCUGUAUGGCUAGACUGGGAUUGGAAGCGCCGUCAUCCAGAUGCCAAUACAUUGUCUUAAACACUACGCCAUCUCACUCGAUUUUCGAGGUUUUUGGCAACAGUGGCCACUUUCAGACAUCAAGUAUUUGAAUUUCGACUUGGAAGAUGUACUGUUGACUUGAUAGUUUUUUACACGUGUUCAGCUAUUGUGCUAGAGUUUGGACCUGAAGUAAUGGCGUUACCCACCGAAGAACACCUCGAGAAUGUAGCAGAAAAAUAUUUUCUGUUACGGAAAUUUCCAAACUGCACCGGAGCAAUAGACGGACGUUAUUGUUGACUUAAAUGCCCACCACACAGUGGAUCUAAUUAUUUCAACUAUCUGAAAUACUUUUCUGUAGUUCUGAUGGGUGUUGCUGAUGCCAAUAAAAAGGU